CACACUGUGCGUGUGUGUGGUCGAUCGCACAAGGCAGAGGGAAAGGGGUAAACCCUAAUUCUCAAGAAAUCUCCAAAUUGAAAAGGGAAUUGAAGGAUUUUAGGAUGCAUGUAUCAAGAUUAUCGAUCUCCUAAGUGUUCUUCACUAUCAAGAACGUGUCAAGGAGAGGUCAAGCAUAGGAGGAUAACGGGUCAAGAUAAGGCAAGGUGACAAAUACACUUAAUGGAGUACUCGAGGUAAGUGAAUUUCGAUUCACUUUUUAGUAGGUUUAAUAGAUUUUAAUACUUAUGUUUACGAAACAUCAUGAAAGAACAUGUAAUAAUCAGAAGUACAAAGCCAAUAAUGCCUCAUUAUUGAGGAAGGUUGUAUUAAGCCGAAAGUAAAUUGGUGGGUUUAAACGGGUCGAAUUUUAUGUGCAUAUGUUGCGUAAUGUAAUGAAAUUCGUUAUGGUUAAGACCUUGGGUAGGAAUUUUUAGUCAUUAUGUAAGGGGAACACUUCCCGGACCAUUAGGAACAAGUUUUAUAUGAUUCGGUUGUCGGUUAGUUAAUGAACGGAUUGUUUCAUGUUAGUGUAGGAAAUUUUAUAAGUAUAUGUGUAUAGGAACCCAAAGGGCACGUGGGUUGAAUCAUAGAUUGUUUAUACUAUGUAAAGUUGUGAAUGUGACAUUCCGGCAUAAACCUACAUGUAAAAGAAGCUUGUGUAUAUAUUCGUGAUUAAUUGAUUGUGCGUAGGAAGGAACAUUGGCAUGUAUGAAGGUACGCAUGUAUAUGUAAGUGUGUGUAUAUAUAUAUAUAUGUAUGUAUGAUAAUAAGUACGUAGGUGUGAAUGUAUGUGUGAAUGAAUGUUCAAUGCUUAAGACAUAUGCAUGAACGUUAUCAAAGUGUUCGAGUAUUUAUGGUUACUAAUGAUGUGCGUUGAGUUGGAAUGUAAUGUAGGUAUGGGAUCGUUGGCUUCAUGAAGAAAUGGAGCUGGAUUUGGAUAAGAGUAUUUAAGAAAGCGCUUGGACAAUUCCACGACUACUUUAUAGAAUGCUCUACGAAAUUCUAUUAUAUAGUUUAAUGUUGUAUGGUAUGUUAAUGACUAAUGGUUUGGUUGUACGUGGUGUCCACAGGUAUCGCUUGGGUUUUCUCUACAUUUAUUGAAGUGAAGCGGACUUAGUUCGAGUUGAGAGCAAGGAUUGUACGGGGUAGAAUGGUCACAUAGUGUAACUCAUAUAGAUUUUGAAGUAUUUGAACCUUCAUGUGUUUGAUAUGUCUAUUAAAGAACGAAAUUUUUGGGCUCUUGUUUUCCGCUGCGUCGUAUUUUAAGUUAUUAUACGU
rnacentral:lncRNA from 1 species